GCUAGAGCGAACGCUGGCGGCAGGCCUAACACAUGCAAGUCGAGCGGUCGUAGCAAUACGGCAGCGGCAGACGGGAGAGUAACACGUGGGAACGCGCCCUUCGGUUCGGAAUAACUCAGGGAAACUUGGGCUAAUACCGGAUACGCCCUUACGGGGAAAGAUUUAUUGCCGAAGGAACGGCCCGCGUCCGAUUAGCUUGUUGGUGAGGUAAUGGCUCACCAAGGCGACGAUCGGUAGCUGGUCUGAGAGGAUGACCAGCCUCACUGGGACUGAGACACGGCCCAGACUCCUACGGGAGGCAGCAGUGGGGAAUAUUGGACAAUGGGCGCAAGCCUGAUCCAGCCAUGCCGCGUGGGUGAUGAAGGCCCUGGGGUUGUAAAGCCCUUUCGGCGGGGAAGAUAAUGACGGUACCCGCAGAAGAAGCCCCGGCUAACUUCGUGCCAGCCGCUGC
rnacentral:rRNA from 1 species